CACUAUCAUUAACUGAAUCCAUAGGUUAAUGAGGCGAACCGGGGGAACUGAAACAUCUAAGUACCCCGAGGAAAAGAAAUCAACCGAGAUUCCCCCAGUAGCGGCGAGCGAACGGGGAGGAGCCCAGAGCCUGAAUCAGUGUGUGUGUUAGUGGAAGCGUCUGGAAAGGCGCGCGAUACAGGGUGACAGCCCCGUACACAAAAAUGCACAUACUGUGAGCUCGAUGAGUAGGGCGGGACACGUGGUAUCCUGUCUGAAUAUGGGGGGACCAUCCUCCAAGGCUAAAUACUCCUGACUGACCGAUAGUGAACCAGUACCGUGAGGGAAAGGCGAAAAGAACCCCGGCGAGGGGAGUGAAAAAGAACCUGAAACCGUGUACGUACAAGCAGUGGGAGCCUCUUAAUGGGGUGACUGCGUACCUUUUGUAUAAUGGGUCAGCGACUUAUAUUCUGUAGCAAGGUUAACCGAAUAGGGGAGCCGAAGGGAAACCGAGUCUUAACUGGGCGUUAAGUUGCAGGGUAUAGACCCGAAACCCGGUGAUCUAGCCAUGGGCAGGUUGAAGGUUGGGUAACACUAACUGGAGGACCGAACCGACUAAUGUUGAAAAAUUAGCGGAUGACUUGUGGCUGGGGGUGAAAGGCCAAUCAAACCGGGAGAUAGCUGGUUCUCCCCGAAAGCUAUUUAGGUAGCGCCUCGUGAAUUCAUCUCCGGGGGUAGAGCACUGUUUCGGCAAGGGGGUCAUCCCGACUUACCAACCCGAUGCAAACUGCGAAUACCGGAGAAUGUUAUCACGGGAGACACACGGCGGGUGCUAACGUCCGUCGUGAAGAGGGAAACAACCCAGACCGCCAGCUAAGGUCCCAAAGUCAUGGUUAAGUGGGAAACGAUGUGGGAAGGCCCAGACAGCCAGGAUGUUGGCUUAGAAGCAGCCAUCAUUUAAAGAAAGCGUAAUAGCUCACUGGUCGAGUCGGCCUGCGCGGAAGAUGUAACGGGGCUAAACCAUGCACCGAAGCUGCGGCAGCGACACUAUGUGUUGUUGGGUAGGGGAGCGUUCUGUAAGCCUGUGAAGGUGUACUGUGAGGUAUGCUGGAGGUAUCAGAAGUGCGAAUGCUGACAUAAGUAACGAUAAAGCGGGUGAAAAGCCCGCUCGCCGGAAGACCAAGGGUUCCUGUCCAACGUUAAUCGGGGCAGGGUGAGUCGACCCCUAAGGCGAGGCCGAAAGGCGUAGUCGAUGGGAAACAGGUUAAUAUUCCUGUACUUGGUGUUACUGCGAAGGGGGGACGGAGAAGGCUAUGUUGGCCGGGCGACGGUUGUCCCGGUUUAAGCGUGUAGGCUGGUUUUCCAGGCAAAUCCGGAAAAUCAAGGCUGAGGCGUGAUGACGAGGCACUACGGUGCUGAAGCGACAAAUGCCCUGCUUCCAGGAAAAGCCUCUAAGCAUCAGGUAACAUCAAAUCGUACCCCAAACCGACACAGGUGGUCAGGUAGAGAAUACCAAGGCGCUUGAGAGAACUCGGGUGAAGGAACUAGGCAAAAUGGUGCCGUAACUUCGGGAGAAGGCACGCUGAUAUGUAGGUGAAGCGACUUGCUCGUGGAGCUGAAAUCAGUCGAAGAUACCAGCUGGCUGCAACUGUUUAUUAAAAACACAGCACUGUGCAAACACGAAAGUGGACGUAUACGGUGUGACGCCUGCCCGGUGCCGGAAGGUUAAUUGAUGGGGUUAGCGGUAACGCGAAGCUCUUGAUCGAAGCCCCGGUAAACGGCGGCCGUAACUAUAACGGUCCUAAGGUAGCGAAAUUCCUUGUCGGGUAAGUUCCGACCUGCACGAAUGGCGUAAUGAUGGCCAGGCUGUCUCCACCCGAGACUCAGUGAAAUUGAACUCGCUGUGAAGAUGCAGUGUACCCGCGGCAAGACGGAAAGACCCCGUGAACCUUUACUAUAGCUUGACACUGAACAUUGAGCCUUGAUGUGUAGGAUAGGUGGGAGGCUUUGAAGUGUGGACGCCAGUCUGCAUGGAGCCGACCUUGAAAUACCACCCUUUAAUGUUUGAUGUUCUAACGUGGGCCCCUUACCGGGGUUGCGGACAGUGUCUGGUGGGUAGUUUGACUGGGGCGGUCUCCUCCUAAAGAGUAACGGAGGAGCACGAAGGUUGGCUAAUCCUGGUCGGACAUCAGGAGGUUAGUGCAAUGGCAUAAGCCAGCUUGACUGCGAGCGUGACGGCGCGAGCAGGUGCGAAAGCAGGUCAUAGUGAUCCGGUGGUUCUGAAUGGAAGGGCCAUCGCUCAACGGAUAAAAGGUACUCCGGGGAUAACAGGCUGAUACCGCCCAAGAGUUCAUAUCGACGGCGGUGUUUGGCACCUCGAUGUCGGCUCAUCACAUCCUGGGGCUGAAGUAGGUCCCAAGGGUAUGGCUGUUCGCCAUUUAAAGUGGUACGCGAGCUGGGUUUAGAACGUCGUGAGACAGUUCGGUCCCUAUCUGCCGUGGGCGCUGGAGAACUGAGGGGGGCUGCUCCUAGUACGAGAGGACCGGAGUGGACGCAUCACUGGUGUUCGGGUUGUCAUGCCAAUGGCACUGCCCGGUAGCUAAAUGCGGAAGAGAUAAGUGCUGAAAGCAUCUAAGCACGAAACUUGCCCCGAGAUGAGUUCUCCCUGACUCCUUGAGAGUCCUGAAGGAACGUUGAAGACGACGACGUUGAUAGGCCGGGUGUGUAAGCGCAGCGAUGCGUUGAGCUAACCGGUACUAAUGAACCGUGAGGCUUAACCUU
rnacentral:rRNA from 1 species